CAGAGAGCUCUACCUUUGCUCUUUUUCAACUUUGAAAAUUCAACACCCACAAAUAAUCAUCGUUUGCUAAGGGAAAUAAGUGAGAAAAAAUUAGGAGAGAGUGUGGAGCAAGAUCAUCAAGUGGAAACCUCCUCUCCUCUCUCUCUUGUUUCACUAAUCUUUGAGUUCUCAUCUUCUUGUUGUUCUUGCUUUGUUCUUCGUGUUCUUUAGGCAAGAUGAAUUGAAAAGUUGGAGGUGCACUCAGGAGCAUCAGGAGACCACUCUCCUUCCGCAACACCCGAAGCUGUUCAUCAUCUUAAGUACCUUCGUUUGCUGGUUUUGGAAUGGACAUCGAUCCUCCCAAGUAUCACACCCCGUCAUCCUCUUCCCAACGGGAAGAGAGGUGCUUCACAUGAGCCACAUCAGCCGUGGUCCACCCACUCAGGAUGGGAGGACCAAGCCACAUAUCAGCAAGGAGAGUCUUGUACAUCCACAGGAUGGGGAACAUUCCCCACACAGGAGCCAGACAACACCGGACAAUAUUUUUAGAGAGGUCAUGCAUCAUUUUCUGUGUAUAUAAAUACGGACUACACUAGUGGACUGUAUCCGUUCCAUGCACCACCGGCAAAUGACUACAUGCUGCCACCUGAACAGCACUUCGAGACUCCCAUUAACGAUUACCCGGCCAUGUCCAUGCAUUUCACUAACCUUCAGCAGGGACAGCAGAUGAUAAACGACACUUUGCACCGACACGAGCAGUGGCAAAAUCAUAUUGAUGAUAGGUUUCGGGCAGCAGGAACAGUGGCAGCACCAGGCGGACCAGCAGUUCAGACAGCUAUACCAUGGACAACAGCACAUGUAGACUGGGUUGGAGUACCUAAUAGACCAGAUGGGGUACCCACCACCACCUCCACCAUAUUAUUGAGCUCAGCAACAUGCAGCUUGGGGGAGAGCCCCCACAAGAAAAGACUAAAAAGAAGGAUUAGAGUGAAAAUCUGCCACGAAACUUAUCCGUGACGCAACAACACCGCCAACAAGGUCAGGAAGGCUCUAGAAGACACCCGAAGCAGCGGGACCGGCAGAGGCCACCAGGUGGGGUUAGCCAGACCCACCAUGGCGCCAUUCGGCCCCUAGGGUUAGGGUUUGGGUGUCCCCUUCCGGAAGCUUCCUCCACCACCUCCUACAAUGUAUUCUGACCCUUGGUUAAGUUGGUUUGAUCCUGCGGCGCACGUGCACUCCACCAGGCUAUAAAUAAAGAGGCAGACCCCCCUUUAGAAGGGAACCAAUUCAUUUCUCUUGCUUCAUUUGUCAAGAGUAGUCAGAAGUUAGGGUUUCUAGAGAUUAGAAGUAAAGCUCUUGUUCUUUAAGUUCUUAGUAUAGGCGUCUAUCAAGAUUCAAGUAGCGAUC